GUCGAAUACAGUUGAGUCGCAACUGGAGAUUCCAGCAAAAAAGCAACGGAAAUAGAAGUGUUAUGCCCUUUUACCAUUAAUAGCCAGUUGUGUGAAUAGAUAACCUUGCGGAUUGAGGUGCUGCUGCUGUGCUGACAUUUUUCUUUAAACAUGUAAUCAGUAUGGUUGAAUUUGGAAUCAUCCAUCCAAGUUCUCAUUGUGGAGUUUUAGGUAGGAUAGCAGUUUUACAUGCUUUGCGUUUUCUGCUUUAUUUGUACAUGUAAAUUAUUAAUCUUAUAAGAAU
rnacentral:misc_RNA from 1 species